AAAGUGUUGGUUGCGGCGGACUAAUGGGAGCUUGCUCCCGUUAGUUAGCGGCGGACGGGUGAGUAACACGUGGGCAACCUACCUGUAAGACUGGGAUAACUUCGGGAAACCGGAGCUAAUACCGGAUGACAUAAAGGAACUCCUGUUCCUUUAUUGAAAGAUGGCUUCGGCUAUCACUUACAGAUGGGCCCGCGGCGCAUUAGCUAGUUGGUGAGGUAACGGCUCACCAAGGCGACGAUGCGUAGCCGACCUGAGAGGGUGAUCGGCCACACUGGGACUGAGACACGGCCCAGACUCCUACGGGAGGCAGCAGUAGGGAAUCUUCCGCAAUGGACGAAAGUCUGACGGAGCAACGCCGCGUGAGCGAUGAAGGCCUUCGGGUCGUAAAGCUCUGUUGUUAGGGAAGAAUAAGUGCUAGUUGAAUAAGCUGGCACCUUGACGGUACCUAACCAGAAAGCCACGGCUAACUACGUGCCAGCAGCCGCGGUAAUACGUAGGUGGCAAGCGUUGUCCGGAAUUAUUGGGCGUAAAGCGCGCGCAGGCGGUUUCUUAAGUCUGAUGUGAAAGCCCCCGGCUCAACCGGGGAGGGUCAUUGGAAACUGGGAAACUUGAGUGCAGAAGAGGAAAGUGGAAUUCCAAGUGUAGCGGUGAAAUGCGUAGAGAUUUGGAGGAACACCAGUGGCGAAGGCGACUUUCUGGUCUGUAACUGACGCUGAGGCGCGAAAGCGUGGGGAGCAAACAGGAUUAGAUACCCUGGUAGUCCACGCUGUAAACGAUGAGUGCUAAGUGUUAGAGGGUUUCCGCCCUUUAGUGCUGAAGUUAACGCAUUAAGCACUCCGCCUGGGGAGUACGGUCGCAAGACUGAAACUCAAGGAAAUUGACGGGGGCCCGCACAAGUGGUGGAGCAUGUGGUUUAAUUCGAAGCAACGCGAAGACCCUAACCAGGUCUUGACAUCCUCCUGACACCUAGAGAUAGGGCUUUCCCUUCGGGACAGAGUGACAGGUGGUGCAUGAUUGUCGUCAGCUCGUGUCGUGAGAUGUGGGGUUAGUCCGCACGAGCGCAACCCUUGAUCUUAGUGGCCAGCAUUAGUGGCACUCCUAGGUGACCGCCGUGACAACCGAGAUGUGGGAUGACGUCAAUUCAUCCAUGCCCCUUAUGACCUGGCUACACGUGUCUCACAUGCAUGUGACAAAGGGCUGUGCAAGAAA
rnacentral:rRNA from 2 species